AGAAUCAACGCUGGCGGCGUGCCUAACACAUGCAAGUCGAACGAGAAAGUGGAGCAAUCCAUGAGUAAAGUGGCGCACGGGUGAGUAACACGUGACUAACCUACCCUGGAGUGGGGGAUAACUGAGGGAAACCUUAGCUAAUACCGCAUAAUACCUACGGGUCAAAGGAGCAAUUCGCUUCAGGAGGGGGUCGCGGCCGAUUAGUUAGUUGGCGGGGUAAUGGCCCACCAAGACAGUGAUCUGUA
rnacentral:rRNA from 1 species